rnacentral:rRNA from 1 species
GACGAACGCUGGCGGCGUGCUUAACACAUGCAAGUCGAGCGGUAGGGCCCUGCUUUGGUGGGGUACACGAGCGGCGAACGGGUGAGUAACACGUGGGUGACCUGCCCUCAGCUCUGGGAUAAGCUUGGGAAACUGGGUCUAAUACCGGAUAGGACUGCAUCUUGCAUGGGGUGUGGUGGAAAGUUUUUUCGGCUGGGGAUGGGCCUGCGGCCUAUCAGCUUGUUGGUGGGGUGANGGCUUACCAAGGCGACGACGGGUAGCCGGCCUGAGAGGGUGUUCGGCCACACUGGGACUGAGACACGGCCCAGACUCCUACGGGAGGCAGCAGGUGGGGAAUAUUGCGCAAGUGGGCGGAAGCCUGACGCAGCGACGCCGCGGUGGGGA